rnacentral:rRNA from 1 species
UUUUUGAAGAGUUUGAUCCUGGCUCAGAGUGAACGCUAGCGGUGCGCCUAACACAUGCAAGUCGAGUGGGUUUAGACCCACGGCAAACGGCUGCGUAACACGUUGGAAUCUACCCCGAACUCAGGGAUAUCCCUCCGAAAGGAGGAGUAAUACCGGAUGCCCUCGCAAGAGGAAAGAUUUUUCGGUUCGGGAGGAGCCUGCGGCCUAUCAGAUAGUUGGUGGGGUAACGGCCUACCAAGUCGAUGACGGGUAGCUGGUCUGAGAGGACGACCAGCCAGAAUGGGACUGCGACACGGCCCAUACUCCUACGGGAGGCAGCAGUGAGGAAUCUUCCGCAAUGGGCGAAAGCCUGACGGAGCGACACCGCGUGAAGGAUGAAGCCCUUUCUGGGUGUAAACUUCUGUUCUGAGGGACGAAAUUUUUGACGGUACCUCAGGAGAAAGCACCGGCUAAUUCUGUGCCAGCAGCCGCGGUAAGACAGAAGGUGCAAGCGUUACUCGGAAUUACUGGGCGUAAAGGGUCCGUAGGUGUUCCUGCAAGUCUGGUGUCAAAAUGCGGAGCUUAACUCCGUAUCCGUACCGGAAACUAUGGGAAUUGAGCCAUUCAGAGGUAUCUGGAAUGCCGUGUGUAGGGGUAAAAUCCGUUGAUCCACGGUAGAACGCCAAAAGCGAAGGCAGGAUACUAGGAAUGUGCUGACACUCAGGGACGAAAGCGUGGGGAGCAAACCGGAUUAGAUACCCGGGUAGUCCACGCUGUAAACGAUGGACACUAGGUGUGGGGGGUAUCGACCCCCUCCGUGCCGAAGCUAACGCGAUAAGUGUCCCGCCUGGGGAGUAC